GAGGUGUUAAGGUACUGGAGCAAAUAAGCAACCGCGGUACAUGAUUUUCUAGAAUGUAGAGACCACUUGACUCUCGUCCUCUAUCAAUAAUUUGCUUCGUCAUAAGAUCCUGAAACAAACACUGGUUAGGAAAAAAGGAAACAGAACAAUUGAUUUUGCAAAACAUGUAGAAAUCACAUGCUCUGAUACCAUGUAGAAAGA
rnacentral:misc_RNA from 1 species